AUUGACACACAACAAUGAGGUACCUUCAUCUCCUUAUUUUGUUUUCUGCGCAAGACACUAUGAUCUUGGAGUCAAGUAUAGGAGUGGAAGUUCGCAAGAUUUGGGCUACAGGGCCCCGUAUCCUGGUGGGUUUUUGAACAUUGCUGCUGGAAAUUUUGUUCAGUUCUUUCUGAUUCUGCUCUGUGCAUAUUUAAGUGAAGAAAACUCUUGUGGGGAGUGAAACCUGUAUUUUCUAAAAGCAUUGAGAAGAUUCACUGUACCAAAGGCAGAAUGAGAUUUGCGCCUCUAUGUUUCACGGUUGGUGAGGAAGCAGAAACCAUGAGAAUUAUUGAAGUUGGAUUCUGCCUUUAAUAAUCUAAUGCGUCAAUUUUCUUCUUUCUUUUUUCUUCUUCUGGCAAGUGACUUGUACUCCAAAUCUAGAUGGGAGUUUAGUACUCCUUUAAGUGUGAUAUGCUCUCCUCUUUGGUGAAGGUUCCUGAACACUUUGGCAGCAAAAUAUUUUCAUUUUUAAGUAUAUUCAGGAAAUUUACACUUCAAGUUUGAUCGUUUCACACUAAAAUUCAUCUAAUUAAAUCGGGCAAUUAGUAUUCUCCUA